ensembl:snRNA
AAAAAGGGCUUCUGCUAUGAUUGGCACAGGAGGGGUGGGGUAUUCCACUCCUUUUGCGGAAUCGCAAUCAAGAGAUUUCGGAAGCAUAAUUUUUAAAAUAGGGGAUGCUAGUGAUCGCUUGUCCUGGCGCCCCG